rnacentral:sRNA from 1 species
UAUCCCCAGAGCCCCUUCCCCCCCAACCCCUAUGGACAGCCACAGGUCUUCCCAGGACAAGACCCUGACUCACCCCAGCAUGGAAACUACCAGGAGGAGGGUCCCCCAUCCUACUAUGACAACCAGGACUUCCCUGCCACCAACUGGGAUGACAAGAGCAUCCGACAGGCCUUCAUCCGCAAGGUGGGUAGGGGCAUCUCCAAGGCGGUGCGGGGUGUGGCUCCCAGCAGAUGACUCUGAGCGGCUCCUUCCCCAGGUGUUCCUAGUGCUGACCUUGCAGCUGUCGGUGACCCUGUCCACGGUGUCUGUGUUCACUUUUGUUGCGGAGGUGAAGGGCUUUGUCCGGGAGAAUGUCUGGACCUACUAUGUCUCCUAUGCUGUCUUCUUCAUCUCUCUCAUCGUCCUCAGCUGUUGUGGGGACUUCCGGCGAAAGCACCCCUGGAACCUUGUUGCACUGGUAACCCUCAAACCUGAGCCUCUGUGCCUGGGUCCGGCCAUGCAGUCCCACACGCCCACUCUUCCGGGCCUGGUCACCGUGGUUCUCCUUGUGCUCAUGAGGCAGGGGCGGGCAGGGGUGGCAUGGGGGCACACACCCAAGGUCAGCCUGUGUCUCCCAACCACAGUCGGUCCUGACCGCCAGCCUGUCGUACAUGGUGGGGAUGAUCGCCAGCUUCUACAACACCGAGGCAGUCAUCAUGGCCGUGGGCAUCACCACAGCCGUCUGCUUCACCGUCGUCAUCUUCUCCAUGCAGACCCGCUACGACUUCACCUCAUGCAUGGGCGUGCUCCUGGUGAG